rnacentral:misc_RNA from 1 species
CAUCAGGUCCAAUAUCCUAAGCACCAAGGGAGUGCAACAGGCCAGGCCUUGCAACUGUGUGCGCCCCCACCUUUUGUAGCUGGUGGGCAGCAGCCAUUUGCAAUCCCAANGCAGCCCUUUCCAAUCCCAAGCCACUUUCCCCUUCUGCAACCUCCUAUUUCUGCUAACCGGCCCAUUCGAGUUCCAGGAUCAAAUGCUCUCUUUGGCACAAAGU